AUACGGAGGGUGCAAGCGUUGUUCGGAAUUAUUGGGCGUAAAAGCGCGUGUAGGCGGUUGGUUAAGUCUGAUGUGAAAAGCCCUGGGCUCAACCCCGGGAAAGUGCAUUGGAAACUGGCUAACUUGAGUACGGGAGAGGGUAGUGGAAUUUCGAGUGUAGGGGUGAAAUCCGUAGAUAUUCGAAGGAACACCGGUGGCGAAGGCGGCUACCUGGACCGAUACUGACGCUGAGACGACGAAAGCGUGGGGAGC
rnacentral:rRNA from 1 species